rnacentral:tRNA from 1 species
GCCCCGAUAGUGUAGUCCGGCCAAUCAUCUCGGAUUUUCGAUCCGAGGACGUGGGUUCGAAACAACCCUUAUCAGCGUUGACGGAGCUGUACGACAUUCGCUCGUAUAACUCGCUCAGUCCUACGAUAAGAGUUGGCGAAAUUCCCGCUCGGGGCA